rnacentral:rRNA from 1 species
AGAGUUUGAUCAUGGCUCAGAACGAACGCUGGCGGCGUGGAUAAGACAUGCAAGUCGGACGAGAUUUUCCGUUGUAGCAAUACGAUGGAAAGUCUAGUGGCGAACGGGUGCUUAACACGUGGGCAACCUGCCAAGAAGUGGGGGAUAGCUCGCCGAAAGGCGAAUUAAUACCGCAUGUGAUUAGAGAGGACAUUCUUUCAAAAUUAAAGUCGGGGCAACCUGACGCUUUUUGUGGGGCCCGCGGCCUAUCAGCUAGUUGGUGAGGUAACGGCCCACCAAGGCUUUGACGGGUAGCUGGUCUGAGAGGACGACCAGCCACACUGGGACUGAGACACGGCCCAGACACCUACGGGUGGCAGCAGUCGAGAAUUUUUGACAAUGGGGGAAACCCUGAUCGAGCGACGCCGCGUGGAGGAUGAAGGUCUUCGGAUUGUAAACUCCUGUCAUUGGGGAACAAUGCGUGACGGUUAACUGCCGUUGCGUUGAUAGUACCCGAAGAGGAAGAGACGGCUAACUCUGUGCCAGCAGCCGCGGUAAUACAGAGGUCUCAAGCGUUGUUCGGAUUCAUUGGGCGUAAAGGGUGCGUAGGCGGCGCGGUAAGUCGGGUGUGAAAUCUCGGGGCUUAACUCCGAAACUGCAUUCGAUACUGCCGUGCUUGAGGACUGGAGAGGAGACUGGAAUUUACGGUGUAGCGGUGAAAUGCGUAGAUAUCGUAAGGAAGACCAGUGGCGAAGGCGGGUCUCUGGACAGUUCCUGACGCUGAGGCACGAAGGCCAGGGGAGCAAACGGGAUUAGAUACCCCCGUAGUCC